GUUCAAAUGUCUGUCAUUGUAUCAUUGUUCCACUGUAGACUAGCCUACACGCCAUCAAGAAUGAUAUCAAACCACUGUGUUUCUAUGUGUUAAUGUUCAAACGCCAGUCAGUCACCACUUGAAUCUGACUUUCUUUGUGAUUUCAGAUAUGACAUUGAUUCCAAAAGUCCAGAUCUGGCAAAGCAUCCCUCCGACAUUGACGUACGUGUUUGACUCCUCCAACCAAACUUUAUCUCUCUUCAAUGUUUAAUAACCCACUGCUAAUAACAUGCUGCUUAGCUCCUCAUCAGCUGUCCUUGUUUUCCCCCUGUCUCCCCAUGAACAACGAACUCUCCACUCCUCCCUCCGUCCCUCCAUCCCUCCCUCCCCCCUCCCCCCCAUCAGGACUUCUUGGGGCAGGUGUUCUGUACCUUGGGAGAGAUUGUAGGAUCACCCGCCAGUCGACUGGAGAAACCUCUGGGCAGGACGAUGUUACCAUGAACAGCAGGAUGAUGUUACCAUGAGCAGCGGGAUGAUGUCACAAUGAGCAGCAGGAUAAUGUUACCAUGAGCAGCGGGAUGAUGUUACCAUGAGCAGCGGGAUGAUGUCACCAUGAGCAGCAGGAGGAUGUUACCAUUAUAGAACAAAGUUUGUUUGAUCUGAACAGUUUAGUUUUAGAAGUUUUAGAACUCUCGUGUGAUGCAGCGGUAUCACAACUGGCAGUGAUUGGGUUUAGCCAGUGUAGCCCGUCAUUAUAAAUAUUAAUUUGUUCUUAACUAACUUGCCUAGUUAAAUAAAGGUUAAAUUCAUUUAAAAAAAUGUUUCUGCAGCUUGCUAGCCUAUCUUGCGGAUGUUUCUCUGACAAGUCACACGGUGUGGCCUGUUUCUGGUACACAUAUUCCGUGAUACAUCUUUGCUAAAACACCUUGCUACAACAAGUGGCAACUUUGUAUCAAAGUUUCAUCACUUCGUUGUAAAGCGGCGCCGUUGCCGUAGAAACGGUCUUGACUGCACAUCUCUCCCCUGUUUGAUCUGCGACCUGAUCUUCAGUCAGCUGUUUUUACAACUCGACAUUCUUAAACUGUCUGGUUUUGUAUCUGAACUGGGCUUUAGAAUGAAGCGUCAUGUACAGCGAGCUCUAAAAGUAUUGGUGACAUAUUGUUUUGGACAAUGAUGAUGGGGUUAAAGUGGAGCCUGUCAGCUGUAAUUUAAGGAUAUUUUCGUCCAUAUAGGUUGGACCGUUUAGGAAUUACAGCACGUUUUGUACAUAGACCCCCCCCCCCCAUUUUAGAUGCACCAAACUCAUACCCCCAAGACAUGCUAACCUCUCACCAUUAAUUACAAUAACAGGGAGGUUAGCAUUUUGGAGCAGGGUAUGAUAUUUAUGCCUCUGUAACUUUCUCACAAUUCGUUCAGGAUUAUCCGUAAUCAUGGUAGCAUCCACAUUAAUGUAGAAGUGUUCAGAAACAUAUUCUGUUCUUAUUUAUAAUAAAAGUGGCUCCAAAAUGACACAAUACAUUAUUUACCAUUUAAUAUCUAUUGGGCUCAAAAUAAUCUGAAACACAACCAAAACAAACAGUAAAUGCAUCCAACAAGUUUGAAGAGUCACAAGCUUGAUGUAGUCAUUACGUGCUAUGAAUACGGGACCAAAUACUUACAUUUGUACUACUUUAAUACACAAUAAUUUUGGUCCCCUAAUAUGAAUGAAAAUACCCACAAUUUUAAGCUGCCAGUCUGCACUAACCUCAUAAUCAUUGUAUAAUUUCAAAUCCGAAGUGCUGGAGUACAGAGACAAAACAACUAAACAUUUGUCACUGACACACUACUGUUAGAGCUCACUGCAUAUUAAGAGCUCACUGUAUAUUAAGAGCUCACUGCAUAUUAAGAGUUCAUUCUAACAUCGUUGCACUGCUUCACCAUCCCAAUGGCUGUUAGACAAAGUAGUUCCCUAACAAAUAAUUCCCUAAUCACUUGGGCCAAUCAACAGAUGGCACACGAGUCAAACGACCUCGCUCCGCCUCGAGAGUUGAACUAUGUUCAGCCAUGUAGCCAAAUUGUACACUUGUACCAGUUGCCAUGUGGCUUGACUUUAUCCGUGGCGCCCACUAUAUCAUAAAAGCACCAUUGACUCUGGAGUCAUCAAACAGGCCUCUUUAUAUUUCUGUGUGCAUUGGAACGUAAACACAGCUAGCCAGCGCUUCUCAUUGGCUUCCAUGUGUUCUAGGGCUGUGUGUAACAAAUAGCACUCUGUUCCCAACAUAGUACACUACUUUUGACCAGAGCCCUAUGGGAGCCCUUACGGGCAAUGGUAAAAAAAAAGAAGAAGUGUGCACUGUAAACGGAACAUGAUGCCAUUUGGAACAAAGCCCUAGGCUGUGGGAUGACGAUAAAUAUGUCUGUCAUCCAUAGCCAUCUGUGGAGUACUUUAACUGUUCAGAUAACAUUGGGGUGAGAUGAUGGCACUGGUAAUUGAACAGGACUCGGGGCUUCCU
rnacentral:lncRNA from 13 species